ACACAUGCAAGUCGAGGGGUAUAGUAGCAAUACUAGAGACCGGCGCACGGGUGCGUAACGCGUAUGCAAUCUACCUUUUGCAGAGGGAUAGCCCAGAGAAAUUUGGAUUAAUACCUCAUAGUAUAACGACUCGGCAUCGAGAUGUUAUUAAAGUCACAACGGCAAAAGAUGAGCAUGUGUCCCAUUAGUUAGUUGGUAAGGUAACGGCUUACCAAGACUACGAUGGGUAGGGGUCCUGAGAGGGAGAUCCCCCACACUGGUACUGAGACACGGACCAGACUCCUACGGGAGGCAGCAGUGAGGAAUAUUGGACAAUGGGCGCAAGCCUGAUCCAGCCAUGCCGCGUGCAGGAUGACGGUCCUAUGGAUUGUAAACUGCUUUUGCACAGGAAGAAACAACGCUACGUGUAGCGUCUUGACGGUACUGCGAGAAUAAGGAUCGGCUAACUCCGUGCCAGCAGCCGCGGUAAUACGGAGGAUCCAAGCGUUAUCCGGAAUCAUUGGGUUUAAAGGGUCCGUAGGCGGUCUUAUAAGUCAGUGGUGAAAUCUCCCCGCUCAACGGGGAAACGGCCAUUGAUACUGUAGGACUUGAAUUAUUAGGAAGUAACUAGAAUAUGUAGUGUAGCGGUGAAAUGCUUAGAGAUUACAUGGAAUACCAAUUGCGAAGGCAGGUUACUACUAAUGGAUUGACGCUGAUGGACGAAAGCGUGGGUAGCGAACAGGAUUAGAUACCCUGGUAGUCCACGCCGUAAACGAUGGAUACUAGCUGUUGGGCGCAAGUUCAGUGGCUAAGCGAAAGUGAUAAGUAUCCCACCU
rnacentral:rRNA from 1 species